rnacentral:piRNA from 1 species
UCCAAGCACAUUGGGUUCAGAACAGGG